GGGGGCGAUUGGAUUCGACUCUAGGGAAGAGGCGGGUGUUGCAUGCCGAGGACGCCCGUUGGCCUCGUAAAUCAUCGGGUGAAAACACAAAUGCCAAUACUGAUUUGGCCCUCGCUGCCUAAUUUAGCGUAGCGCGUCUCCCCGUUCGCUGCCUGCGUGGACGGAUCGAGGCGUCGACAAGCAGGCUAGCCCCGGCGGUGGCGCAUCCAGGCCGCAAGGGCGAAACAAAACUGGAAGCUGGCUGAAGCGCUUGUCCUGCCCCGGGAAAAGGACUUCGGCGAGAACUAAAACGGGGAUAAGCAUGUAGAGGCAUUCGUGGCUCCCCUUGAGGACGCGGGUUCAAAUCCCGCCGCCUCCACCA
rnacentral:tmRNA from 1 species